rnacentral:rRNA from 1 species
GUGGAUUAGUGGCGACGGGUGAGUAACACGUGGGCAAUCUGCCCUGCACUCUGGGACAAGCCCUGGAAACGGGGUCUAAUACCGGAUACGACCAUUUGAGGCAUCUCAUGAUGGUGGAAAGCUCCGGCGGUGCAGGAUGAGCCCGCGGCCUAUCAGCUUGUUGGUGGGGUAAUGGCCUACCAAGGCGACGACGGGUAGCCGGCCUGAGAGGGCGACCGGCCACACUGGGACUGAGACACGGCCCAGACUCCUACGGGAGGCAGCAGUGGGGAAUAUUGCACAAUGGGCGAAAGCCUGAUGCAGCGACGCCGCGUGAGGGAUGACGGCCUUCGGGUUGUAAACCUCUUUCAGCAGGGAAGAAGCGCAAGUGACGGUACCUGCAGAAGAAGCACCGGCUAACUACGUGCCAGCAGCCGCGGUAAUACGUAGGGUGCGAGCGUUGUCCGGAAUUAUUGGGCGUAAAGAGCUCGUAGGCGGCUUGUCACGUCGGAUGUGAAAGCCCGGGGCUUAACCCCGGGUCUGCAUUCGAUACGGGCAGGCUAGAGUUCGGUAGGGGAGAUCGGAAUUCCUGGUGUAGCGGUGAAAUGCGCAGAUAUCAGGAGGAACACCGGUGGCGAAGGCGGAUCUCUGGGCCGAUACUGACGCUGAGGAGCGAAAGCGUGGGGAGCGAACAGGAUUAGAUACCCUGGUAGUCCACGCCGUAAACGUUGGGAACUAGGUGUGGGCGACAUUCCACGUCGUCCGUGCCGCAGCUAACGCAUUAAGUUCCCCGCCUGGGGAGUACGGCCGCAGGCUAAACUCAAAGGAAUUGACGGGGGCCCGCACAGCGCGAGCAUGUGCUACUCGACGCACGCGAGACC